rnacentral:rRNA from 1 species
UACGUAGGGUGCGAGCGUUAAUCGGAAUUACUGGGCGUAAAGCGUGCGCAGGCGGUUUUGUAAGCCAGGUGUGAAAUCCCCCGGGCUCAACCUGGGGAAUGGCAUUUGGGACUGCAAGGCUGGAGUGCGGCAGAGGAGACUGGAAUUCCUGGUGUAGCAGUGAAAUGCGUAGAUAUCAGGAGGAACACCGAGUGGCGAAGGCAGGUCUCUGGGCUGACACUGACGCUCAUGCACGAAAGCGUGGGGAGCAAACAGG